UUUAUGGAGAGUUUGAUCCUGGCUCAGGAUGAACGCUGGCGGCGUGCCUAAUACAUGCAAGUCGAGCGAACGGACGAGAAGCUUGCUUCUCUGAUGUUAGCGGCGGACGGGUGAGUAACACGUGGAUAACCUACCUAUAAGACUGGGAUAACUUCGGGAAACCGGAGCUAAUACCGGAUAAUAUUUUGAACCGCAUGGUUCAAAAGUGAAAGACGGUCUUGCUGUCACUUAUAGAUGGAUCCGCGCUGCAUUAGCUAGUUGGUAAGGUAACGGCUUACCAAGGCAACGAUGCAUAGCCGACCUGAGAGGGUGAUCGGCCACACUGGAACUGAGACACGGUCCAGACUCCUACGGGAGGCAGCAGUAGGGAAUCUUCCGCAAUGGGCGAAAGCCUGACGGAGCAACGCCGCGUGAGUGAUGAAGGUCUUCGGAUCGUAAAACUCUGUUAUUAGGGAAGAACAUAUGUGUAAGUAACUGUGCACAUCUUGACGGUACCUAAUCAGAAAGCCACGGCUAACUACGUGCCAGCAGCCGCGGUAAUACGUAGGUGGCAAGCGUUAUCCGGAAUUAUUGGGCGUAAAGCGCGCGUAGGCGGUUUUUUAAGUCUGAUGUGAAAGCCCACGGCUCAACCGUGGAGGGUCAUUGGAAACUGGAAAACUUGAGUGCAGAAGAGGAAAGUGGAAUUCCAUGUGUAGCGGUGAAAUGCGCAGAGAUAUGGAGGAACACCAGUGGCGAAGGCGACUUUCUGGUCUGUAACUGACGCUGAUGUGCGAAAGCGUGGGGAUCAAACAGGAUUAGAUACCCUGGUAGUCCACGCCAUAAACGAUGAGUGCUAAGUGUUAGGGGGUUUCCGCCCCUUAGUGCUGCAGCUAACGCAUUAAGCACUCCGCCUGGGGAGUACGACCGCAAGGUUGAAACUCAAAGGAAUUGACGGGGACCCGCACAAGCGGUGGAGCAUGUGGUUUAAUUCGAAGCAACGCGAAGAACCUUACCAAAUCUUGACAUCCUUUGACAACUCUAGAGAUAGAGCCUUCCCCUUCGGGGGACAAAGUGACAGGUGGUGCAUGGUUGUCGUCAGCUCGUGUCGUGAGAUGUUGGGUUAAGUCCCGCAACGAGCGCAACCCUUAAGCUUAGUUGCCAUCAUUAAGUUGGGCACUCUAAGUUGACUGCCGGUGACAAACCGGAGGAAGGUGGGGAUGACGUCAAAUCAUCAUGCCCCUUAUGAUUUGGGCUACACACGUGCUACAAUGGACAAUACAAAGGGCAGCGAAACCGCGAGGUCAAGCAAAUCCCAUAAAGUUGUUCUCAGUUCGGAUUGUAGUCUGCAACUCGACUACAUGAAGCUGGAAUCGCUAGUAAUCGUAGAUCAGCAUGCUACGGUGAAUACGUUCCCGGGUCUUGUACACACCGCCCGUCACACCACGAGAGUUUGU
rnacentral:rRNA from 1 species